UGGGGAAUUUUGGACAAUGGGCGAAAGCCUGAUCCAGCAAUGCCGCGUGUGUGAAGAAGGCCUUCGGGUUGUAAAGCACUUUUGUCCGGAAAGAAAUCCUUGGCUCUAAUACAGUCGGGGGAUGACGGUACCGGAAGAAUAAGCACCGGCUAACUACGUGCCAGCAGCCGCGGUAAUACGUAGGGUGCAAGCGUUAAUCGGAAUUACUGGGCGUAAAGCGUGCGCAGGCGGUUUGCUAAGACCGAUGCGAAAUCCCCGGGCUCAACCUGGAACUGCAUUGGUGACUGGCAGGCUAGAGUAUGGCAGAGGGGGGUAGAAUUCCGACGUGGUAGCAGUGAAAUGCGUAGAGAUGUGGAGGAAUACCGAUGGCGAAGGCAGCCCCCUGGGCCAAUACUGACGUUCCAUGCACGAAA
rnacentral:rRNA from 1 species